GGACACGGCGCAAGGCUGGGUCCCGGUUUUGCCCCCUUCUGAAUUUAGAAACUUCUUCUCUCGAUGGGGCAAAGCUCGCCCCGCCCGCCAACUUCCUUCCAGGCUCAGCGUCCUGGUUCCACAGGGAGCGCAUCUAAUGCCCCAGGACAAAUGAGCUCAUAGGACGCGCCUUCCAGGGCCCGGGGAGGUGGAGUGAGGGCCGCUGGCGGAGGGCGGGUUGUGGGUGUCGGCCCUUUCCAAGAGCCGCCUCUGCAGUUAGAGCUCAAACUGCUACCAACUGUUGCCUCGGGCGUGGCCGUGGGCUGGGGCAUGAGAGCACUGUCACGUGAGUCCUCACACCACUCUUCUGGGUCUGCAAAUAGAUGUUGGGUACAUUUCUCUUUGAGAAUGAUGUGCCCCUCAACCGGCGGUGCAGGGACCUUCAAGAAGAGUCCAGUCCCCCGAUUCCAUUGCCAGCUGCAGAGCAGAAGCAUCCUCUCCAUGCCACUGCUCUGAUGGGGUCUCUACUCGUGCUACCUGGCAUGGCUCUCACCCACCACGUGUUGACUUGUUUCCAAAGAAAGAAGUUGCCCACGUUUGGGCCAGUCCCGAUCCUCCCUGACAGCCACAAACAAUGCAGUGUCAAGCACUGAGAGGACGUUGGGAAGAUGAAAAGAACACCCAUCGCGGGACUUCUCACAAGCGGGAGACAGAGGCAACUGAAGCGCCUGAAUCUUCAGCUCCAGGGUGCCCAGUAGGAUUUCCGGUUCCGGCCCCGCCCACUCCCAGCGCAGACUCCUCCCUGAGGUCUUUGCUUGGCCUUGGGGAGCGCUCUCUUUUAAGUGACAUCGCCUCCAUGGCCACAGGCUUUUCGCUGGCCUGGUCCCCAGAACGAAGACCUCCCCACUGUAUACCCUGUUUGGAAUUACUUGAGGGAGAAUGUGGGAGGGAAUUAAAAUAACAGAGGCUAAUACUUUGGAGGGAAGUCUAAAAAGACAUAGAUGAUUAAGUCUGGGAAAGAAGAGACUGUAGAAAGGACUGAAGAAAGAAAGUGAGGCUUCAGGUCAGACAGGAGAACUUCCUGCGGAUGGAACAGUGGGAGAGGGGGCCCAGGGGCUCAGCAGUGGUCAUCAGCAAGAACUCUAAACCCAGACUGGUGGGGUCUACUCCCAGCAUUUCCACUGAUGAGCCUGGCCUGUCCAACUGUGCCUCAGCUUCCUCAUCUGUAGGAUGGGGAGAGUCAUAACCCUCGUAGGGUGUUAUAAGGAUGAAAUGAAUCAGUGUAUACAAAUCACUGAGCAGUGCCUGACUUGUGGUGAGUGUUCUGUAAGCAUGAGUGAGUAUUAUUUUUCCUUUGAAAUGUAAACUUAAAGAAUUUGAGAAUACAAGCAGGGAGGGCCCAUAGGGACAUCCAACCUGACCGUUUCUUCCACUGGUGAGGAAUCGGAGCUGGGUGGGCUGCUCUCCCCGCUGGCCCCUGAGUGGAUGCUCCAGGCUGGGUCUUGUGCCCUCCACCCGCUGACUCCUUUCUCUGCCAGCUUGCAGCAGAGUAAGCACUGUUUAAGCAGCCCUCCUGGGAUUUUGGGGCUUGCCGUAGAACAGCGCCUGGGCAGAGGCACCAUGGCCUGUCUGUGUGUUGGUCAGGGGGCCAGGGACAGACGAUCCUACUCAAAAUAGUUUAAGCAAAAAAAUAAAAAGGUAAGUGUCAUGUAACAAGGAAGUUGCGGAUGCUUCUCAGGCACAGGUGGAUCUGGGGCCUGAAAUGAUUCCAUCAGGACACACUCUCUCCUUUGCGUUUCUUUAGGUGACUUCAUUCUCAGACUGGCUGUCCUCAUGGGGCGAAGGGUGGCCACCAGCAACUAUAAGCUUACGUUGUCCUCAUGUUUUAAAAUGUAGGUUUUAUUAUCAUUCAGGUGUGGUGAGGCCAAAGGUCAAGAGAUGACUGCUGUUGAAGAGACAGUCUGUUACUCGUGGUUCCCAGGAUGAGGGGGCAGCACAUGCCAUAGGGAGAUCACAUGGGGAAGCACCAGGGUUGGUCAGGAGGAAACUGUGGGCAAGAGCCUUUAUUGAGGUUUUUGUGGGAAAGAAUGGGCAAGUGGGCCAAGCAGGCUACGCAGGUUUAGGAUUGGUUGGUUUGGUUAGUUUGAAUAAUUUCAGAGAGCUCUGGGGUGUAGGGGCUGCCUCUAGGUGUCUGAUGCCUGCCCUGGCUUGAUUAGGGCAGAGGACUAGUGGCCCCCAGGGUAAGAGCCCAAUAAAGGAGGCUGGAGGGUGGGCUGUGCUCUCUGGAUUGGUUCGUUAGCAUAUGAAAGGCAAGCUUGCAGGAGAAUCCUUUGCUAUCUCUAGGAAUUGGCUAGCUCUGGGAGGGCAGUCUCUCCAGGGUCAACAAGGCCCUAGAUGUCAAAGAGUCAGAAAUACAGGAAAUAAAAGGACAUGAUUAAUGCACCUCACAAUUAGCCGCCCCAGUAAAGAAGUUGGCUCUCUCAACAUCAUUAGCUAAUGGCCGGGAAAAGCUCUGAUUGGCCCGCUUGUGUCAUAUGCUCAACACCAAAUGCUGAUGAGGACGUCUCAUACAUUAUUGAUGGGAAUGUAAAGUGCUACAGACACUCUGAAAACUGUUUGGCAGUUUCUUAAAAAACUUAGGAGGCACUUACCAUCUGACCCAGCAAUGGCACAUUUAGAGAAAUGGAAGCUUAGGUCCACACAAAAACCUGUACAUGAAUGUUCAUAACAGUUUAUUUGCAAUAGUCCGCAAAAAGCCAGUCUCAAAAUGUCACACUCUGUGUGAUUCCAUUUAUACAACAUUCUUGAAAUAACAAAACUAGAGAGAUGGAG
rnacentral:lncRNA from 1 species